rnacentral:rRNA from 1 species
AGAGUUUGAUCCUGGCUCAGGAUAAACGCUGGCGGCGUGCCUAACACAUGCAAGUCGAACGCCCUGCGCAAGCAGGGAGUGGCGGACGGGUGAGGAACACGUGGGUUAUCUACCACCAGGUGAGGAAUACCGGCGAGAAAUCGCCGACAAUACCGCAUACGCUUCGCAAGAAGCAAAGCUCGCAAGGGCGCCUGAUGAUG